GUUGAGUUGUUAGUUUAAUUAUUUGAGUCCAAUAAUUGUAUGUGGGCAUCAGGUUAAGACUUGUUCUUAAUCCGUUGAUUCAUAGCCAAGUAUUUUGGCUUAAGAAUAGGUCUUCCGGUUGGGUUGUUAACUGAAUAUCAGUGUCGUGGUUAUGCUAUUUUUAUGGGUUGAGUCCGUGUAAUUGGGACAGUUGUUAUUUCCAGUUGUAUUUAAGUAUUUCAAGUUAAUGAGAAAAGUAUCAAAACAAUUGCAAUCAGUGAGUAUUGGAGGUUGUGGAUUUCCUCGAAUUAAACCAACUUUUUCCUUUCUAAGCCUCAACCUGACAGAAAAACCCACAAUAGUUUUAGAAUGGAAUAAGCUGCUAUAUGAUCAACUUUUCUUGUGCUGCAUAUAGAAAUAUCUGCAAUCCACAACAGUGAGAGUAGAAGAAAUGAGAGUGAGAAAGACUGAUGCAGAACAGUGGAUGUUUCAACGUAUGCACCCUGAUAACUUAAGAGAGGAGGUCAGACGAUAUGAACAAUACAAAUGGUAGGAACUAGAGGGGUCACACGAAUAUAGUCCUACCAUUAGAUAUGUAAUUUUCAUAUAUUGUAAUUUUAUAUUUUGUAAUAUAAUGUAUAAAUACCAAAUAAUGUAAUAUGUAAGGAAUUGCAUUAUGUGUUGCAUGCA